UGUUAAUAAGCACAUUUUAACACUACUUAGUACUUAGAGUAGGCAAAAACUAUAGACUACAACAUUAAAGCACCAGACAUGUAAUUCAGAAGGACAUGUUUGUGAACAUUAGUGUGUCCACCUCGCCCCACAUCUUAGUGUCAUCAGCAAACAUGGACGAGGGGGUGGAAAGCAUGCUGUCCAAGUCACUGAUGAAGAUGUUAAACAGUGCGGGUCCGAGGACUGAGCCCUGGGGUACCCCACUGCUCACAUCUCGUCAGAAUCUUAUGCUAAGCUAAGGAGCUCCAUGAAAAGAGAGAAAGGGUGUUCUCUAGGUUUUGCUGCUUCUACAAUUCUGCCUCUUCCCACAUUUCCCUCUUCUCUGCAGAACCACCCUUUUAGAUUCCCAGGAAGGGAUUCCUGAUCAGGUCCUUGUGUGUAGGUUAUCUUCUUACAGACCUCAGAUGGUUUACAGAAGCCUGCUUGUUCUACAACAGAAGUCAGCUUGAAGCUCCGCAAAGAAACUUCAGUAAAGUUAAAUUGAUCUAUUUACUAUAAUAAAUAUAUACAUACAUAUAUAUUGCUAAAUUGCAUAUUGA